AGGGUUCGAUCAUGGCUCAGAAUGAACGCUGGCGGCAUGCCUAACACAUGCAAGUCGAACGAGAUCUUCGGAUCUAGUGGCGCACGGGUGAGUAACGCGUGGGAACCUACCUUUUAGUACGGGACAACGUUUGGAAACGAACGCUAAUACCGUAUACGCCCUCCGGGGGAAAGGUCAGCCGCUAAAAGAGGGGCCCGCGUCUGAUUAGCUUGUUGGUAAGGUAAUGGCUUACCAAGGCUACGAUCAGUAGCUGGUCUGAGAGGAUGAUCAGCCACACUGGGACUGAGACACGGCCCAGACUCCUACGGGAGGCAGCAGUGGGGAAUAUUGGACAAUGGAGGCGACUCUGAUCCAGCAAUGCCGCGUGUGUGAUGAAGGCCUUAGGGUUGUAAAGCACUUUCAACGGUGAAGAUGAUGACGGUAGCCGUAGAAGAAGCCCCGGCUAACUUCGUGCCAGCAGCCGCGGUAAUACGAAGGGGGCGAGCGUUAUUCGGAAUUAUUGGGCGUAAAGGGCUCGCAGGCUGCUUGAACAGUUAGACGUGAAAUCCCCGGGCUCAACCUGGGAACUGCGUUUAAUACUAGCAAGCUAGAGAAAUAGAGAGGAAAGUGGAACUCCCAGUGUAGAGGUGAAAUUCGUAGAUAUUGGGAAGAACACCAGUGGCGAAAGCGACUUUCUGGCUAUUUUCUGACGCUGAGGAGCGAAAGCGUGGGGAGCAAACAGGAUUAGAUACCCUGGUAGUCCACGCCGUAAACGAUGUGUGCUAGAUGUUGGAGGGAUACCUUUCAGUGUCGCAGCUAACGCACUAAGCACACCGCCUGGGAAGUACGGUCGCAAGAUUAAAACUCAAAGGAAUUGACGGGGGCCCGCACAAGCGGUGGAGCAUGUGGUUUAAUUCGACGCAACGCGCAGAACCUUACCAGCCCUUGACAUGUGGAGUUUGGUUAUCAGAGAUGAUUUCCUUCAGUUCGGCUGGCUCCAACACAGGUGCUGCAUGGCUGUCGUCAGUUCGUGUCGUGAGAUGUUGGGUUAAGUCCCGCAACGAGCGCAACCCUCAUCUUUAGUUGCCAUCAGUUCGGCUGGGCACUCUAGAGAAACUGCCUGGGAUGACCAGGAGGAAGGCGAGGAUGACGUCAAGUCCUCAUGGCCCUUAUGGGCUGGGCUACACACGUGCUACAAUGGCGGUGACAAAGGGACGCAAUAGGGCAACCUGGAGCAAAUCCCUAAAAACCGUCUCAGUUCGGAUUGUUCUCUGCAACUCGAGAGCAUGAAGUUGGAAUCGCUAGUAAUCGUAGAUCAGCAUGCUACGGUGAAUACGUUCCCGGGCCUUGUACACACCGCCCGUCACACCAUGGGAGUUGGUUUUACCCGAAGACGGUAUCCUAACCUUUUAGGAGGGAGCCGGCCACGGUAGGGUCAGCGACUGGGGUGAAGUCGUAACAAGGUAGCC
rnacentral:rRNA from 1 species